UCCUACGGGAGGCAGCAGCAAGGAAUAUUGGGCAAUGGGCGAAAGCCUGACCCAGCGACGCCGCGUGGGGGAUGAAGGCCUUCGGGUUGUAAACCCCUUUUCUCAGGGAAGAAUAAUGACGGUACCUGAGGAAUAAGCCUCGGCUAACUACGUGCCAGCAGCCGCGGUAAUACGUAGGAGGCAAGCGUUAUCCGGAUUUACUGGGCGUAAAGAGGGUGUAGGCGGCUUUUCAAGUCGGAUGUGAAAUCUCCCGGCUUAACUGGGAUGGGUCAUUCGAUACUGUUGGGCUAGAGUACAGCAGAGGGAGGUGGAAUUCCCGGUGUAGUGGUGAAAUGCGUAGAUAUCGGGAGGAACACCAGUGGCGAAGGCGACCUCCUGGGCUGCCACUGACGCUGAGACCCGAAAGCGUGGGGAGCAGACAGGAUUAGAUACCCUGGUAGUCCACGCAGUAAACUAUGGAUACUAGGUAUAGGGAGUAUCGACCCUCUCUGUGCCGAAGCUAACGCUUUAAGUAUCCCGCCUGGGGACUACGGUCGCAAGACUAAAACUCAAAUGAAUUGACGG
rnacentral:rRNA from 1 species